AGUGAACGCUGGCGGUAGGCCUAACACAUGCAAGUCGAACGGCAGCACAGGAGAGCUUGCUCUCUGGGUGGCGAGUGGCGGACGGGUGAGGAAUACAUCGGAAUCUACUCUGUCGUGGGGGAUAACGUAGGGAAACUUACGCUAAUACCGCAUACGACCUACGGGUGAAAGCAGGGGAUCUUCGGACCUUGCGCGAUUGAAUGAGCCGAUGUCGGAUUAGCUAGUUGGCGGGGUAAAGGCCCACCAAGGGCGACGAUCCGUAGCUGGUCUGAGAGGAUGAUCAGCCACACUGGAACUGAGACACGGUCCAGACUCCUACGGGAGGCAGCAGUGGGGAAUAUUGGACAAUGGGCGCAAGCCUGAUCCAGCCAUACCGCGUGGGUGAAGAAGGCCUUCGGGUUGUAAAGCCCUUUUGUUGGGAAAGAAAUCCAGCUGGCUAAUACCCGGUUGGGAUGACGGUACCCAAAGAAUAAGCACCGGCUAACUUCGUGCCAGCAGCCGCGGUAAUACGAAGGGUGCAAGCGUUACUCGGAAUUACUGGGCGUAAAGCGUGCGUAGGUGGUCGUUUAAGUCCGUUGUGAAAGCCCUGGGCUCAACCUGGGAACUGCAGUGGAUACUGGGCGACUAGAGUGUGGUAGAGGGUAGCGGAAUUCCUGGUGUA
rnacentral:rRNA from 1 species